CUUGUGGAUUCUUUAGAAUCCACAAAUACCUUAAGGAAAAGAAAU
rfam:Fukomys damarensis contig160733, whole genome shotgun sequence.